rnacentral:tRNA from 1 species
GCCUUCGUGGUGUAGUGGUCAGCACACUCCGCGUGCAUUCGAGAAGUCCGUGGUUCGAGUCACAGCGAGGGCA